UUAAGUUAUUAAGGGCGCACGGUGGAUGCCUUGGCACUAGAAGCCGAUGAAGGACGUUACUAACGACGAUAUGCUUUGGGGAGCUGUAAGUAAGCUUUGAUCCAGAGAUUUCCGAAUGGGGAAACCCAGCAUGAGUUAUGUCAUGUUAUCGAUAUGUGAAUACAUAGCAUAUCAGAAGGCACACCCGGAGAACUGAAACAUCUUAGUACCCGGAGGAAGAGAAAGAAAAUUCGAUUCCCUUAGUAGCGGCGAGCGAAAUGGGAAGAGCCCAAACCAACAAGCUUGCUUGUUGGGGUUGUAGGACACUCUAUACGGAGUUACAAAGGACGACAUUAGACGAAUCAUCUGGAAAGAUGAAUCAAAGAAGGUAAUAAUCCUGUAGUCGAAAAUGUUGUCUCUCUUGAGUGGAUCCUGAGUACGACGGAGCACGUGAAAUUCCGUCGGAAUCUGGGAGGACCAUCUCCUAAGGCUAAAUACUCUCUAGUGACCGAUAGUGAACCAGUACCGUGAGGGAAAGGUGAAAAGCACCCCGGAAGGGGAGUGAAAUAGAACCUGAAACCGUGUGCUUACAAGUAGUCAGAGCCCGUUAAUGGGUGAUGGCGUGCCUUUUGUAGAAUGAACCGGCGAGUUACGAUUUGAUGCAAGGUUAAGCAGUAAAUGUGGAGCCGUAGCGAAAGCGAGUCUGAAUAGGGCGUUUAGUAUUUGGUCGUAGACCCGAAACCAGGUGAUCUACCCUUGGUCAGGUUGAAGUUCAGGUAACACUGAAUGGAGGACCGAACCGACUUACGUUGAAAAGUGAGCGGAUGAACUGAGGGUAGCGGAGAAAUUCCAAUCGAACCUGGAGAUAGCUGGUUCUCUCCGAAAUAGCUUUAGGGCUAGCCUCAAGUGAUGAUUAUUGGAGGUAGAGCACUGUUUGGACGAGGGGCCCCUCUCGGGUUACCGAAUUCAGACAAACUCCGAAUGCCAAUUAAUUUAACUUGGGAGUCAGAACAUGGGUGAUAAGGUCCGUGUUCGAAAGGGAAACAGCCCAGACCACCAGCUAAGGUCCCAAAAUAUAUGUUAAGUGGAAAAGGAUGUGGCGUUGCCCAGACAACUAGGAUGUUGGCUUAGAAGCAGCCAUCAUUUAAAGAGUGCGUAAUAGCUCACUAGUCGAGUGACACUGCGCCGAAAAUGUACCGGGGCUAAACAUAUUACCGAAGCUGUGGAUUGUCCUUUGGACAAUGGUAGGAGAGCGUUCUAAGGGCGUUGAAGCAUGAUCGUAAGGACAUGUGGAGCGCUUAGAAGUGAGAAUGCCGGUGUGAGUAGCGAAAGACGGGUGAGAAUCCCGUCCACCGAUUGACUAAGGUUUCCAGAGGAAGGCUCGUCCGCUCUGGGUUAGUCGGGUCCUAAGCUGAGGCCGACAGGCGUAGGCGAUGGAUAACAGGUUGAUAUUCCUGUACCACCUAUAAUCGUUUUAAUCGAUGGGGGGACGCAGUAGGAUAGGCGAAGCGUGCGAUUGGAUUGCACGUCUAAGCAGUAAGGCUGAGUAUUAGGCAAAUCCGGUACUCGUUAAGGCUGAGCUGUGAUGGGGAGAAGACAUUGUGUCUUCGAGUCGUUGAUUUCACACUGCCGAGAAAAGCCUCUAGAUAGAAAAUAGGUGCCCGUACCGCAAACCGACACAGGUAGUCAAGAUGAGAAUUCUAAGGUGAGCGAGCGAACUCUCGUUAAGGAACUCGGCAAAAUGACCCCGUAACUUCGGGAGAAGGGGUGCUCUUUAGGGUUAACGCCCAGAAGAGCCGCAGUGAAUAGGCCCAAGCGACUGUUUAUCAAAAACACAGGUCUCUGCUAAACCGUAAGGUGAUGUAUAGGGGCUGACGCCUGCCCGGUGCUGGAAGGUUAAGAGGAGUGGUUAGCUUCUGCGAAGCUACGAAUCGAAGCCCCAGUAAACGGCGGCCGUAACUAUAACGGUCCUAAGGUAGCGAAAUUCCUUGUCGGGUAAGUUCCGACCCGCACGAAAGGCGUAACGAUUUGGGCACUGUCUCAACGAGAGACUCGGUGAAAUCAUAGUACCUGUGAAGAUGCAGGUUACCCGCGACAGGACGGAAAGACCCCGUGGAGCUUUACUGUAGCCUGAUAUUGAAAUUCGGCACAGCUUGUACAGGAUAGGUAGGAGCCUUUGAAACGUGAGCGCUAGCUUACGUGGAGGCGCUGGUGGGAUACUACCCUAGCUGUGUUGGCUUUCUAACCCGCACCACUUAUCGUGGUGGGAGACAGUGUCAGGCGGGCAGUUUGACUGGGGCGGUCGCCUCCUAAAAGGUAACGGAGGCGCUCAAAGGUUCCCUCAGAAUGGUUGGAAAUCAUUCAUAGAGUGUAAAGGCAUAAGGGAGCUUGACUGCGAGACCUACAAGUCGAGCAGGGUCGAAAGACGGACUUAGUGAUCCGGUGGUUCCGCAUGGAAGGGCCAUCGCUCAACGGAUAAAAGCUACCCCGGGGAUAACAGGCUUAUCUCCCCCAAGAGUUCACAUCGACGGGGAGGUUUGGCACCUCGAUGUCGGCUCAUCGCAUCCUGGGGCUGUAGUCGGUCCCAAGGGUUGGGCUGUUCGCCCAUUAAAGCGGUACGCGAGCUGGGUUCAGAACGUCGUGAGACAGUUCGGUCCCUAUCCGUCGUGGGCGUAGGAAAUUUGAGAGGAGCUGUCCUUAGUACGAGAGGACCGGGAUGGACAUACCUCUGGUGUACCAGUUGUCGUGCCAACGGCAUAGCUGGGUAGCUAUGUGUGGACGGGAUAAGUGCUGAAAGCAUCUAAGCAUGAAGCCCCCCUCAAGAUGAGAUUUCCCAACUUCGGUUAUAAGA
rnacentral:rRNA from 1 species